rnacentral:rRNA from 1 species
GAUGAACGCUGGUGGCGUGCCUAAUACAUGCAAGUCGAGCGAACGGACGAGAAGCUUGCUUCUCUGAUGUUAGCGGCGGACGGGUGAGUAACACGUGGAUAACCUACCUAUAAGACUGGGAUAACUUCGGGAAACCGUAGCUAAUACCGGAUAAUAUUUUGAACCGCAUGGUUCAAAAGUGAAAGACGGUCUUGCUGUCACUUAUAGAUGGAUCCGCGCUGCAUUAGCUAGUUGGUAAGGUAACGGCUUACCAAGGCAACGAUGCAUAGCCGACCUGAGAGGGUGAUCGGCCACACUGGAACUGAGACACGGUCCAGACUCCUACGGGAGGCAGCAGUAGGGAAUCUUCCGCAAUGGGCGAAAGCCUGACGGAGCAACGCCGCGUGAGUGAUGAAGGUCUUCGGAUCGUAAAACUCUGUUAUUAGGGAAGAACAUAUGUGUAAGUAACUGUGCACAUCUUGACGGUACCUAAUCAGAAAGCCACGGCUAACUACGU